rnacentral:tRNA from 1 species
UUAGUUUAACAUCUAAAAUGAUAUUGCUAUUUAUUGCAAAGGUACGGGUUCAAGUCCCGUAAAGGACG